AUUGAACGCUGGCGGCAUGCCUUACACAUGCAAGUCGAACGGUAACGGGUCCUUCGGGAUGCCGACGAGUGGCGAACGGGUGAGUAAUAUAUCGGAACGUGCCCAGUAGUGGGGGAUAACUGCUCGAAAGAGCAGCUAAUACCGCAUACGACCUGAGGGUGAAAGGGGGGGAUCGCAAGACCUCUCGCUAUUGGAGCGGCCGAUAUCAGAUUAGCUAGUUGGUGGGGUAAAGGCCUACCAAGGCAACGAUCUGUAGUUGGUCUGAGAGGACGACCAGCCACACUGGGACGGAGACACGGCCCAGACUCCUACGGGAGGCAGCAGUGGGGAAUUUUGGACGAUGGGCGCAAGCCUGAUCCAGCAAUGCCGCGUGCAGGAAGAAGGCCUUCGGGUUGUAAACUGCUUUUGUCAGGGAAGAAAUCUUCUCGGCUAAUACCCCGGGAGGAUGACGGUACCUGAAGAAUAAGCACCGGCUAACUACGUGCCAGCCGCCGCGGUAA
rnacentral:rRNA from 1 species